rnacentral:rRNA from 1 species
AACGCUAGCUACAGGCUUAACACAUGCAAGUCGAGGGGCAGCGCAGUGUAGCAAUACAUGGGCGGCGACCGGCGCACGGGUGCGUAACGCGUAUCCAACCUUCCCGUUACUCAGGGAUAGCCUUCCGAAAGGGAGAUUAAUACCUGAUGGUAUUCAAAUUCCGCAUGUUAUUUGAAUUAAAGAUUUAUCGGUAACGGAUGGGGAUGCGUGACAUUAGGUAGAUGGCGGGGUAACGGCCCACCAUGCCCACGAUGUCUAGGGGUUCUGAGAGGAAGGUCCCCCACACUGGAACUGAGACACGGUCCAGACUCCUACGGGAGGCAUCAGUGAGGAAUAUUGGUCAAUGGUCGGAUUUUUUAACCAGCCAAGUAGCGUGAAGGAUGAAGGUUCUAUGAAUAGUAAACUUCUUUUAUUCGGGACCCCCCCCCCCUACGUGUAGGUGCUUGUAUGUACAAAAAGAAUAAGCAUCGGCUAACUCCGUGCCAGCAGCCGCGGUAAUACGGAGGAUGCGAGCGUUAUCCGGAUUUAUUGGGUUUAAAGGGAGCGUAUACGGGAGAU